AAUGUUGUGUUGCCAUAGUCUCCGAAGUUUGCUUUUAAAGCUCACUCACAGUUAGAAAAGUCAAGCAUCCAGACAUUUGAAGGACUAUUUGCACAUUAAGGUGACAUUUUCGAUUUUAAAAGUUCUCCAAAAAUUAAGAUGAAAAAGGAAACAAGAAAAGUUACGACUGAGGCAGAUAAGAAAGAUCCAGGAGAUCAAAAUUGUAAGACCAGAAUGACAAAAAGAAAGGCCAGUCCUGAAAAAAAGACCCCCAUAAAAAGAAGGAGGGUCAGUGAGCAGGCUGGUCCUUCCACCGGCUCAGAUGCUCAUGUGGUCAAAGGAGUCAAGCGCAAGGUCCAACAAGAUGAAGCGGGGACAACCAAUACAGCAAAAAAGUGUAAACUUCUUGACCAUAUGAGCGGUGACAAGGGGCAAGCAUCUUCCUGGUUGGACACUGGUAAAGACUGCAGCAUAGACAUUUCAGAGAGCUGCAGUAAAAACCAAAACGCUGGCAAAAGGAAAGCUGCGGGAGACAGGAGGGACCCACCUAAGAAGAAGAACGUGGACCAGGACGAAACCAAAAAUGUUGCCAAAAAGUCAGUGGCCGAACAGAAACGUGACUUCCAAGCGAGAUACGUGGAGGAGCACCGGCUUGGAGAAGGAGGCUGCGGAGCAGUGUUUGCUGGCUACCGCAUAAAAGAUCAUUUUCCAGUGGCCAUCAAACACAUCCCAAAGGGGAAAGUGUACUGCAAAGUGACGGAUGAAAACGGGAAGCAUCUGUCAGUGGAAGUUGCCAUCAUGCUGAAGCUUGCAGCUGAAGCAGAUGGAUCAGUGGGAGCAUCAGCCCCAGUGUCUCUGCUGGAGUGGUUUGACUUUGGCAGAGAGCUGAUCCUGGUGAUGGAGAGACCCGUCCCCGCUGUGGACCUGGAUAAAUACAUAGAAGAAAAUGGAGGAUUUUUACCAGAGGCCAAGGCCAAGGUCAUUCUGAAGCAGCUGGUUGAUGCUGCCAAGCACCUGGAGGAUAAACACAUCUUUCACCGGGACAUCAAGAGUGAGAACAUUCUAAUUGAGACCGGCUCAGAUGUACCGCGUGUUCGUAUCAUCGACUUUGGACUGAGCUGCUUUGUUAAGGAGCGGUCGCUGUACCGCGUCUUCUAUGGUACAGACAUUUACUCCCCUCCCGAGUGGUACAGGCGCAGUUGCUACAGGUGUGGACCCACCACGGUAUGGCAAAUGGGAGUGGUUCUGUACGAAGCGCUUCAUGUGGGGGACUUUAACACCACGAGCUUCCUCAAAAAGCGCCUGAAAUUCAAAAGCCGUCUGUCUAAACGCUGCCGGGAUUUCUUGGACGCGUGUUUAACCAGAGUCCCAGAGAUGCGGCCGACGUUGGAGGACCUCCAGCAUCACGCUUGGCUGAGAUAAACCCAUCACACACACACACAAACACACGCAAUUCAGACGUUAUCAUGUAUGUGUGAUAUAUGAGGUAACUUUCUUGUUUUCUGUUUGACAGGAAAUAAUUUUUUUAAUUGCCCUAUUUUAAACUUUGGUGUUUUGGAAUUCCUGUAACCCCCCCCCCAGCCAUCCCAGGAAAGGGGAUCUCUCUUUGAAUGGGCUUUCCCGAGGUUUCUUCCCGUCAAUCUGGCCCCCCCAGGGGAGUUUUUCCUCGUCUUCAUAGAGAGCUUGGGCUGGGUCAGGAGCUCCAUCAAAACUGUCUUUAGUUGAUUAUUUUAAGAUUAUGCUGGGAUUUUGGUGAGAUUGGGAUUUUUCCAAACAACUAUGUCCAGGAUCUUGAAGAAGAUAGGAUAGAGCGGCAGAAGAACACAAUGGCUGCCACCACUGGGAGCUAAGGAAACCGAGUUGCAAGGAGGUUGAUGUCCUAUUCUAGUGCAACUGACCAGUAAGAAGAAGGACGCGCUUUCAUGUAGUUAUGUGAUGAAACAAAAACAACGGUGUCUAAAGAGGAGGCUAGAAAAGACACAUAUUUCCAGAAACUGUAACAGACCAGCAAAGGAAUCAACCGGAGGAUGAGCAGCACCUAAUCUAUCAGACCGAGACGAGAUUCACUACUUUUGCUGACAAAAAAAUCCAUAACAUCCAGCAUCCAUAUGAUUGAAAUUAGACUUGCCAUGUCAGGCAGAGGAUGCUUAUCAAGAAAGGUAACCUGAGUUUACAUACAGAUGUGUUGCAUCACUGUUUGUGAAUGAGAACUAUUGUAUUUAUGGCACCAUGUUUAACCAGAGGAAGCAGAUUCCGAACCCCUUAAAACUCAUUGUUGACUACCUGUUUCUACAACCUAACAAUAUCAGCAAUAGGUCUGUUACCUCUAGAUAAAAGAUCUGAGUUACUACAUAUUUAAAAGGAAAUGGAAAAAUGUCAUCCAGUCAGAAUACAGUCAGUGCAGCGAUCUAGACAAAACUGGACAGCACACAGCAAAAGCUUUCCAUUUGAAAAAUCACAAUAUAAUAUUGAGUAUGGCAAUUCUCAUUUGACAUGAAGGAAAAAAGCAAUAACUUGGCCUCCACCACUACCACCACCUACUAAAGUCUGAGUAUCGGAUCCAUCAUUUCAGAUCUCCCGUCGUAAAAUGGCAUCGUUAAAAUAGUGGCUAUCACACAGAAAGCGUCGUGCAGCUUAUCCUCCUUUGAUUUUUCAUUCAUAAUAACAUUUUGACACCCCCACACUGCAAACCGAUUAGUGCAGUACAAUAGCAGCUGCCGAAGUGUUCAAAUCAAUGAUUCCAGACACACAGUGUGGAAACAAAUCAAUUAUUGUUUAAACACAAGGCUCUGAUGUCCACUAAUCAAUAGAUGAGAUGUGUUAAAUUGAAGAUGCUCUGUGCAAUUCUGAGGGUUUUUUUUUCCCCUUUUCUUAUUUUGGAUUGCAAAAAUAACACAGACCUAGUAACAAUCACCGAUGCUAAUAGACUGCUGUCAUUAAAUAAUAAAUUGUGAACUUCAGAAAUCAAAAUUAUUUACUGAAAGGGAAAAUCGUGCAGUGCUGUUGCUGGUAAAUGUACACAUUUCACAGUACCCCGUUUCUCUUCUUGUGUCUGUGCAGUCGUUAUUGUUUUCACUUCACUGAAUAAACUAUUAUAAUUGUUAUUUUUCCAAGA